UACAGAGGUUCCAAGCGUUGUCCGGAAUUAUUGGGCGUAAAGAGCUUGUAGGCGGUGUGUUGCGUCGGCCGUGAAAACCUGCAGCUUAACUGUGGGCUUGCGGUCGAUACGGGCAUCACUGGAGUUCGGCAGGGGAGACUGGAAUUCCUGGUGUAGCGGUGAAAUGCGCAGUUAUCAGGAGGAACACCGGUGGCGAAGGCGGUUCUCUGGGCCUGCACUGACGCUGAGGAGCGAAAGCGUGGGGAGCGAACAGG
rnacentral:rRNA from 1 species